GGGCAGCCAAGUCGUGAGGCGGAGCUAAUCCCUUAAAGCCAUUCUCAGUUCGGAUUGUAGGCUGAAACUCGCCUACAUGAAGCUGGAGUUACUAGUAAUCGCAGAUCAGAAUGCUGCGGUGAAUGCGUUCCCGGGUCUUGUACACACCGCCCGUCACACCACGGAAGUUGGGGGCGCCCGAAGCCACUUAGCUAACCCUUUUGGGAAGCGAGUGCCGAAGGUGAAAUCAAUAACUGGGGUGAAGUCGUAACAAGGUACC
rnacentral:rRNA from 1 species